rnacentral:rRNA from 1 species
UACGAAGGGUGCAAACGUUGCUCGGAAUUAUUGGGCGUAAAGCGCACGUAGGCGCUAUCUAAGUCGGAUGUGAAAUCCCUCGGCUUAACCAAGGAAGUGCACCCGAAACUGGAUAGCUUGAGUACAGAAGGAGGAUCGCGGAAUUCCCGGUGUAGAGGUGAAAUUCGUAGAUAUGCGGAGGAACACCGAUGGCGAAGGCAAUCCCCUGGGCCUGCACUGACGCUCAUGCACGAAAGCGUGGGGAGCAAACAGG